AUAAAGGAUGUAAAAAUUAGUGAGUGAUGUAGGGUUUUUCUUUAUAGUGGUGUGCUGCUCCCUCAAAGCAGAGGUACAACAUAGUUUCACUAUACGCUGCGUGGAGAAGGCCUUUCUUUGCUCUGCCCUGAACCUUCCAACAUUCAGCGCCAUUGGAUGUCCUCAAAUUCUAGGGCUCCGAGAGAGGGGGGGAAAGCUUUUCUCUUAUCACCUUUUUUAUUUCCCCUGGCGGCAUUUCUGUCAAAUUUUGCCAUGGGAAGGAAAAUGGACCGAAAACAGGAAGUUGUCCCUUAAAAAAAAAGCGCGGGAAACAGAAGCCUCAGCCAUCUCUAUCACAAUCCGCAUCUCUGAUCUGUGACUGCAAUGAAUUGAUUCAUUCAUCGCUUGCGGGGAGUGAGUUUCUGUCAGUCGCCUCCGGUCACCUCUUGGCUGUAGGCAUAGCCAGGAUAUUUAUUUUAGGGAGGGGAAGGCUUUAUAGGUUUUUUUUGGGGGGGGGCGCAGAAACGACGCAAUUGGUCAGUUAAGUACAGUAUUUUUAUUUCCUCACUUGAUUUGGAGAGGAGGGCUGAGGAGGAAGCCAGGCAUAGCGGGGGGGCAAGCUGUGCCCCCCCCCAAAAUCAAAUAAGGAAAUAAAAAUACUUAACUAAUUGCGUCGGUUCUGCGCCCCCCCCUAAAAAGCAGGGCUGUGACGUGAGGGAAUGGGGUGUCACACGAAGGCUGCCUCUUGCUUGCGGGUGUAGAAUAAGGGGUGCAGCGUGGAAGGAAGAAUCAGGUUUAUGAAAUGGGCCCUUCUGAAGGGGGCGCAUUAAAAGGAUCCCUAUGGGUUAGGCAAAGAAAGAAGAUGCUCUUUUGCCGCAGCCACGUGGCCUUUCCUCAGUUGCCACUAGCCCAGUGUUUCCCAAACUUGGGUCUCCAGCUGUUGUCGGGUUGGUGUUGGUUUUUUUUUUAUGACUACAAUUCCCAUCAUCCCGGAUCACUGGUCUAGCCAGCUAGGGAUGAUGGGAGUUGUAGUCCGAAAACUGCUGGAGUCUCAAGUAUGGGGAACACUGCACUAGCCCAAGCUUCCUGGAAUAUUGUGUAGGUUUCCUUAUUUCAAUUCCCCCAGGAAAGUUGGAGAGAGCAAUAAAAUAGCUCCCCCUGUCAAACAGUAGUGGUGGCACCAUGGGUAAAAAAAUAAUACAGUAUGCCUUAUAAAUAUGUAGGACUGGUUUGGGUGGGGAAGCCUUGUCCUACCUCUUUUGUAUGAAAGGGGGGGAUGCUCCCUAUUCUAAAUGUAUUUCCUCCGAAGUGUCUUUUUAAUUUGAGGGAGUUAAUUUUCAAGUAAGCAAUUUGGAAUCACGACAGAAUUUCUGGAUUACGUUUCUCCUAUAAUUUACAACUUCAUCACUGAUGUUCAUCAGGAUGGUAGGACCUCCUCUUACUCGGUCCAACCCUACCAAAUAUUUGGCACCAUGGCUGCUACAAGGCCAUCAUUCUGCAGUUGAUACAAAAAGCAGGAAGCUAUCUAGAAAAGACCAGGGUACACCAGAGGAUAUGUUAAAAGUGUGGCGCUUACUGUAACAACUUCAUGACCAUAAAACUGGCAGCAAUAGCAUCACCAUUGAAAGUUUUUAAAAGCUGGAGUGAAGAAGAAGAAGAGUUUGGAUUUGAUAUCCCGCUUUAUCACUACCCGAAGGAGUCUCAAAGCAGCUAACAUUCUCCUUUC